ACAGGGAAGACGUGAAAGCUGUUGAAGGAUAUGAACUUAGAUUCUUAUAGAUUCUCCAUUUCAUGGUCCAAGGAUUCUACCAAAGGGAUCACUAAAAGGUGGCAUUAAUCAAGAAGGAAUCAAUUACUACAACAAUCUCAUCAAUGAAUUAAUCAAAAAUGGCAUCACACCUUAUGUCACAGCUGUUUCAUU